UGGGUCAGUCCUAGCACAUGUCUCCACAUGUGUCCACAUUAUUAGUUCAACAUCUCCAUGUCCAUGACUUGUGAAACAUAGUCAUCAACUAAUACAUGUGCUAGCCUAAUAUUCAUGUGUGUCCUCACAUGAACUCCGACUAGGGACAACUUUAGAAUAACCAUACAAGUAAAGAGUUUCACAUACAAUUCACAUAAUUGCAAAUCAAUUCAAGUAGCCUUUAAAGAAUAUUCAAUGAACACAAUAUACAAAUCAUGGAUACAAAUGGAAUAUCAUCAUCUCUAUGAUUGCCUCUAGGGCAUACCUCCAACAGUCUCCCACUUGCACUAGAGUCAAUCUAGAAGGUACCUAAUACCCAUAGCUCUUACAUGCGCAUCAUGCUUAGCCUGCGGGAGUGGUUUUGUCAAUGGAUCAGAAAUGUUCAGAUCCGUGUGUAUUUUGCAUAUCUUGAUCUCAC
rnacentral:lncRNA from 1 species